CAUUUAAAUUUAUAAGCUUUUCCUCCUUCUUUUUUAUA
rnacentral:sRNA from 1 species